rnacentral:lncRNA from 1 species
AUACAUAAGUGACCACUAACCCGAGUCUCAGAUAGAAUUUCGAUCAUCUAUUUGUGACUCAGACAAGCCCCACUAGAUGAUCGAGUGAGAAGCAAACCGCGAAAGGACACCGAGGGGUGUUCGUGGACCCAACUCGCAUGACAGGCUCGCAGAUUUAGCUCGCAUAAACUAAGAGAAGGUCGCAGUCUCAGCUUGCAUGUGUCCAAGAAGCUCGCAGAAGGAGGACCGUGCUCUACUGGCAACCUAGAAGGAAAC